GCGUUGUUCGGAUUCAUUGGGCUUAAAGGGUGCGUAGGCGGCGCGGUAAGUCGGGUGUGAAAUCUCGGAGCUUAACUCCGAAACUGCAUUCGAUACUGCCGUGCUUGAGGACUGGAGAGGAGACUGGAAUUUACGGUGUAGCGGUGAAAUGCGUAGAUAUCGUAAGGAAGACCAGUGGCGAAGGCGGGUCUCUGGACAGUUCCUGACGCUGAGGCACGAAGGUCAGGGGAGCAAACGGG
rnacentral:rRNA from 1 species